GACGAACGCUGGCGGCGUGCUUAACACAUGCAAGUCGAACGGAAAGGCCCUGCUUUUGUGGGGUGCUCGAGUGGCGAACGGGUGAGUAACACGUGAGUAACCUGCCCUUGACUUUGGGAUAACUUCAGGAAACUGGGGCUAAUACCGGAUAGGAGCUCCUGCUGCAUGGUGGGGGUUGGAAAGUUUCGGCGGUUGGGGAUGGACUCGCGGCUUAUCAGCUUGUUGGUGGGGUAGUGGCUUACCAAGGCUUUGACGGGUAGCCGGCCUGAGAGGGUGACCGGCCACAUUGGGACUGCGAUACGGCCCAGAAGCCUACGGGAGGCAGCAGUGGGGAAUAUGGCACAAUGGGCGGAAGCCUGAUGCAGCAACGCCGCGUGCGGGAUGACGGCCUUCGGGUUGUAAACCGCUUUCGCCUGUGACGAAGCGUGAGUGACGGUAAUGGGUAAAGAAGCACCGGCUAACUACGUG
rnacentral:rRNA from 1 species